AGGAUGAAGGAGCAGCACCUGUGUUAAGGAGAGCAACCCUUUCCCAGAAAUCCCCGCUGCCUGCUGCUUAUCCCUCAUUGGCCAAGUCUGGUCACAUGGCAGUGCUUAGCUCCAUGAGAGGCUGGGAAAUGUGAUUUAAAAAAUAAGUCCCGAGCCUAUUUGACAGAAAGGAAAGGGGAAUGAUUCUUGAGAGAGCUGCACAGAGAUGGUGAUUAAUAACUAUGAAAGUAGAGGAAAUUAUCUUAGGACUGGGAGUUGAGAAAGGAGAGUAACCAAGGCCGAAUCCCAAUUAAUGUGGGGUCAACCAGAAAGAUAAAAAGAAAAGGGAUUAAUGAACCUGAGAAAGAGCAGUCAGCAAGGCAGGUGCAAAGCCAGAAAGGUAGUAUGUAUACAAGUCAAGGGAAAUGAGGGUUUCAGGAAGGAAGGAGCGGCCCCCAGUUUCCAGUGAUAUAAGGAGGACUGCAAGACAAAGCUGAGGAGUGACCCCAACGGUCGGCAGCUCCAGAGAGCUGGGUGAGUGAAAUAACUGAGUCAAAAGUGGGCUGGAGACUAAAUGAGAGACUGAGGGAGAGGUUUGUUUGGAUUUUUUAAGAAGAGAGAGACUUGAAGAUGUUUAAAUGAUGCAGGAAAGACAGUAGAAGAGGAGAGAUUGAAGAGUCUGAAGGAAAAGAGAUGAUGCUUGCUGGAGAAAGUGAGAGGGACUGGAAUUCAGGACAAGUGGGCAACCAAAAACUGGAGGACAGAUGGGGCUCCAUGGAGACAAGAGGAUGGGGGAAGAGCUGAGUUGGAUGCAGAUGUUUGUGGGUUUAGUGGGGGUCCCUGAGUGAAAGCAGCCUUUUUUUUUUUUCUUCUGAAAAUAGGAGAAAUAGGUCACCUGUUAAAAGAAAGUGGCUGUUUGGUGGGAUCCAGGGAUUUUUAGAGAAACUUAGUAGAAAAUGAGAGAAGCUUCUGAGGAAGGCAGGCAGGAAGGUUUGAGGAUGGUGAACCAGAGUCAGAGUCACAGCUCAAAUGAGACAGCCUUCAUCAGUCCUCAGCAACUGGGAUAUGUCCAGGUGUAGAGAGCACAGACAGGAGAAGUGAUCAAAGUGUGGAGGGGGUUGCUGGAAAGGCAUAAUAGAAAACAGUGGUACAGAGGGUUGGAGACAAUUGAGGAGAAACCACUGAAGUGUUGUGUCAUGAGUUGUGGGUGUUGAGGUAGAGAAGUGAUAGCUGGAAGGGCCAGUAGAUGGAGAGAAAGGAGAAGAUGCGAGUGGAGCUGGAGGGCCCUCACUGACUACAGAAGAUAGGAGUGGUUGCACAAGGCUAGGUCAGACAGAGGGAUUUAUCCAUGGGAGGGAAUGACUGAGCUGGAAUGAAGGAAUCAGUGACACUUGGAGUGAGGAAGUCAGGGUCAAGUAUGGCAGGAUUCAGGUGAGCCGGGCGCUAACAUCUUUCACUCAGCUGGCUUGAAUUAAGGUUGCCUUUCUUGAAAAGAUCAGG
ensembl:lncRNA